UGUGUGAUCCGAUUCACGUGUUCGUGUACUAAUUUGUGUGUCUGUGUCUCAAUCUGUGUGUGUGCAUGUUUUAAUUUGUGUGCCCGCAUUUCAAUUUGUGUGUGUAAAAAAAAACAACCCUGUCUUGUCGUAUUUCAAUCUUUUUUCGUGUAAUCCGAUUCAUGUGUCCGUGUACUAAUUUGUGUGUCUGUAUCUCUGUGUGUGUGUGUUUGUGUGUGUGUAAUCCAAUUCACGUGUCUGUGUACUAAUUUGUGUGUCUGUAUCUUAAUUUGUGUUUCUGUAAUCCAUUUCACGCGAGUAUGUACUAAUUUGUGUGUCUGUAUCUCUGUGUGUGUGUGUGUGUGUGUGUGUGUGUGCGUGUGUGUAAUCCAAUUCACGUGUCUGUGUACUAAUUUGUGUGUCUGUAUCUCAAUCUGUGUGUGUGUGUAAUCCAAUUCACGUGUCUGUACUACUUUGUGUGUCUGUAUCUUAAUCUGUCCUUCUGUAAUCCAUUUCACAUGAGUGUACUAAUUUGUGUGUCUGUAUCUCAAUCUGUGUGUGUGCGCGUGUGUGUAAUCCAAUUCACGUGUUUGUGUACUAAUUUGUGUGUCUGUAUCUUAAUCUGUGCAUCUGUAAUCCAUUUCACGUGAGUGUGUACUAAUUUGUGCGUCUGUAUCUGUGUGUGUGUGUGUGUGUGUGUAAUCCAAUUAACGUGAAUGUGUACUAAUUUGUGUCUGUAUCUCAAUCUGUGUGUGUGUGGGUGUGUGUGUGUAAACCAAUUCACGUGUCUGUGUGCUAAUUUGUGUGUCUGUAUCUCACUCUGUGCAUCUGUAAUCCAUUUCACGUGAGUGUACUAAUUUGUGUGUCUGUAUCUCAAUCUGUGUGUGUGCGCGUGUGUGUGCAUGUGUGUGUGUCUGUGUGUAAUCCAAUUCAUGUGUCUGUACUAAUUUGUGUGUCUGUAUCUUAAUCUGUGCAUCUGUAAUCCAUUUUACAUGAGUGUACUAAUUUGUGUGUCUGUAUCUCAAUCUGUGUGUGUGUGUGUGUGUGUGUGUGUGUGUGUGUGUGUGUGUGUGUGUGUGUGUGUGUGUGUGUGUGUGUGUGUGUGUGUGUGUGUGUGUGUGUGUGUGUGUGUGUGUGUGUAUUCAGAUCCACGUUUGCAUGUUUUAAUUUGUGUGCCCGCAUUUCGAUUUGUGUGUGUGCAAAAAUUUAAAAAAUCUGUCUGUCCGUAUUUCAAUCUGUGUGUGAAACGUGUGUUUCCGUAUUCCGAUUUGUGUGAUGCGAGAACCCUGAUUGGCUGUCUUUUUACACGUGACUUUUGCGACACUUCUGCCAAGUGAGGCCUGUGUGCGCGUGCAGCGAUGUGAACGAGUGGAAAGACUUGUUUGUCUGCAACUUGUCCUUUCCUUCUCUUGCACUCACCACUAAAUCUGGCCCACUCACUACUAGAUCCAAACACGGACACACAAGUCUGACACAGCAAAGGAGUGUCGCAAAAGUCAGCCAAUCAGGGUCCCUCCUUCACUCAAAUCUGAGUACACACACACGCAUUUUUACACACACACAGAUAUAGAUAUGGGCGGACAUUUGUUUUUUACACACACACACACAAAUCAAAAUACACCCGCACACAGAUUGAGAUAUUGACAUACGCAUUUGCAAAUAGUUUUGCUACAGUAAUACUUUCAAAAUAAAACAUUUUUUAAAAUCCAAAGUGAUGUAAAAUAGUAUUUGAGCACAUGUAUACUCGUCAGUAGAGAUGUCCGAUAAUAUCGGCCGAUGAAUGCUUUAAAAUGUAAUAUCGGAAAUUAUCGGUAUCGGUUUUUUUAUUAUCAGUAUCGGGUUGUUUUUUUUGUUUUGUUUUUUUUAAAUUAUUAAAUCAACAUAAAAAACACAAGAUAUACAAUUAGUGCACCAACCCAAAAAACCUCCCUCCCACAUUUACACUCAUUCACACAAAAUGGUUGUUUCUUUCUGUUAUUAAUAUUCUGGUUCCUACAUUAUAUAUCAAUAUAUAUCAAUACAGUCUGCAAGGGAUACAGUCCGUAAGCACACAUGAUUGUGCGUGCUGCUGGUCCACUAAUAGUACUAACCUUUAACAGUUAAUUUGACUAAUUGUCAUUAAUUACUAGUUUCUAUGUAACUGUUUUUAUAUUUUUUUACUUUCUUUUUUAUUCAAGAAAAUGUUUUUAAUUUAUUUAUUUAUUUCUUUAAAGGACAUUAUCUUCACCAUACCUGGUUGUCCAAAUUAGGCAUAAUAAUGUGUUAAUUCCACGACUGUAUAUAUCGGUAUCGGUAAUUAAGAGUUGGACAAUAUCGGCUAUCGGCAAAAAAGCCAUUAUCGGACAUCCCUACUCGUCAGCCAUUAGGAAAUAUUUAAAAUGUGUUCACCACUGUCUGAUGUAAGAAGCCCCGCCUCCAAUUCAGUUGAUUGACAGCUUACUUUAAAAACGUUCCGGAAGCUUUCACGGUUUUUCCCUUUAAAAAAUUUUCAAAACCGAUCAAAAUUCCAUAAAGGUAUAUACGUGGUCUGAAGACAGAAUAAAGCUUCCAUUGUGGUUUUUUUUUCAUUUUCAUUUGAUACUCGACUUGCAUUUUUUACUGCUUCAAAAUAAAAGCUGUAGUACAACCUCUGUCCAGUAGGUGGCGAGAAUGCAUCUAUCACGUUGCGUGACGGCCGCCAUUUCACGCAAGCGAAGAAGAGCUCCGACAAAACGCGCGAAACAUGAAUACACGCGCCGUGUAAACAAAAUGGACAUUUUAUCGCCACUACUCGACGUCAAAGUGAGCCGUUGAUGAGGACCCGGGAACGCCUGACCUCGCUGCCGCCUGCUGGUAAACCAAACAAAACAUAUCGUUAGAGCCUGAAAAAUUAAACCGGUUUUCAAUGAUAUGCAAAAAAAAAACAAAGUUAGUUCCAAACGCACUUUAUUGGAUGAGAAGGAUAAAGAGUUAGCUGCACUGAAACAGCUCCAGAGGAG